AGGAUAAUAGUUAAAAAUAACAUUUGAUUUGCAUUCAAAAAUUAUUAAUUACUUUAUUAAUUUAUCUUA
rnacentral:tRNA from 1 species